rnacentral:rRNA from 1 species
AUUGAACGCUGGCGGCAUGCUUUACACAUGCAAGUCGAACGAGUGGCGAACGGGUGAGUAAUAUAGCGGACCGUACCGCGUAAUGGGGGAUAACCAAUCGAAAGAUUGGCUAAUACCGCAUAUUAUUCGAGCGGCCGCUAACGUAUUAGCUGGUUGGUGGGGUAAAGGCCUACCAAGGCGACGAUCAGUAGCGGGUCUGAGAGGAGGAACCGGCACACUGGGACUGAGAAACGGCCCGGACCCAGACGGGAGGCAGCGGUGGAGAAUGUUGGACAAGGGAGUCAACCCUGGUCCAGCCAUGCCGCGUGUAUUAAGAAGGCCUUCGGGUUUUAAAGUACUUUUGUUAGGGAAGCGGUACCUAAAGAAUAAGCACCGGCUAACUACGUGCCAGCAGCCGCGGUAAUUC